AUGGUUCUGCUGGAGCUUGCACAUUUUGUUAGCACCUUUAGGAUUGACAAAACCUUCUGGUUCAGCUUUGCUCUGCCAGACGUUCUUAACGUUGUCAGUUGCAUCAGCAGCAGCAGCAGCAAGGGGUCACCUUCGAAAACUCUUCUGCAACAACAACCUGAUCUGUGCCGUGGAAGGACACCAUUCGAAAUGACUGCAACAAUUCCCGAGCGACCAUCGUGCUUAAGAUGGAUUUUCCAAAACUGCAUCCACCGAACAGCACCAUUAUUGCGUGGAUGUUGCAGCGGCAGAAGACUGCCUCAGUCAACCACACCUUCCCCCAAUUGA
rnacentral:rRNA from 1 species